rnacentral:misc_RNA from 1 species
AACUGCAGCGCACACACGCUCUGCUCCAUCAAGAGAGAAUGCAUGCAUGUGUGCGUGCGCAGCUCCGCUCGUGAGCACCUUCUACCUCUUUUCUUCUCUCUCGCCCCCCCCGUUUUUGAGCCAUGCUUCGCACAUCCUAUCUUCUCCGACCGACCCGGCGUGACGGCGCUGAUGGCGCUGCCGCAGCUGCUCCGACGGAGCACUUGAGCGACGUGUACUUGUGCGCGUCUUCACCCCCGGUGAUCGAGGAAUGGGUGGGGUGGCCUGACGCGCCAUGCGUGCUGGCUGGCAGCAUACGGUACUUCAUCGACACGCGCGGCGCACUGUCACCAUGCGCGCCUGCGGAGUCAUCGGCGUCGCGCGCCGGUGGCACGAAGGCGCUGUGCAUUGCUGAGGCGAAGCCAUCACCGAACCCCCCACCGGAGCUGCCCAGCGCCGUCCCCCUCGACGGGCUUUGCCGUGCGUACGAGGCAGCAGACGGGCGCAGCGGGAGCGCCUUCCUGCAGGUGUACUCUGUUGGAUCUCACGGUUUACUUUCUCCAGAGGCCAAGGCCGUGAUAACUGGGUGCGCCAUGGCGGCGCUGCGGUCGCGACUGUCGCACCUGCUGGGCCUCCUGCCGCACGAACGAUUAAACGAGGCCGGCUCCGCCUUGGGCAUGAGCGCCGUGGCAAUACUGAAUCGGUACUGCCGCGCGUCUGCUGCCCUUCCACCGCCGUCGCCGAGUUUGAUGCGGCCUCGAUGCGGCACCGACAAGGAUGGCGGUGGCAUGCGCGGUGGAGGCUGGGUGGUGACAUGGGCAUUGGAACUUGUUCUCUGUGUGGCCGCUUCGCUCAUCGCCGCUGGGCCGCCGCUGGCCACCGCGUGUCCGCCACUGUGCGUGAGCGACUGCGGGGAAGUCAUAAUGGCCUCGUUGCACUUUGGCCUCGGUGUACGGCUGCAGCGCGACGCUGUUGCCCACCACGACGAGAGAACGGCCGCAUCUUCCAUACCACUCACAUCAGCUGCCGAGAGGCGCCCGCGCUACGCUGCCCUGUCCGUACAGCUCACAGAGUGCACACCAGCAUCCUCGCACCCGCUGGAUGUCCGCCGCGCUGUCGAUGUCACGAGAGUUAUCUACGUGGACCAUAUUCGCUCUGCGCAAGCGUACGCUGAGGAUGGCACGGACGCAUUCCAGCGACUUGCGCGGUGUGCAGGUCGAGUCAGCGAUCCGCUGUCACUGGCAACGGCACGAGAUGCCUGGGCAGAGGCACUGCAGUCUUAUCAAGCCAGCGCCACCGCUUCGCAAGGGGGCGUGCUGUUUGUGCUGACGCACGACCUGUCAGCGCAGUCUGGGCCGGCCGCCCUUCUCCCCUUGAUGGUGCGCGAGGAGCGAAGUCGUUCUCACGCCGCCGAGAUGUCGCACGACGUGGUCUUUCCGCCGGCUCUACGCGACCACGUCCUCGCCUCCGUCCGUGUGCGGAGCGCGCCAGCGUACUUCAACCACAUUCUUCUGUGCCAAGCGUGGUCUUCGGAUGACGUGGUUACUGAGGCCUACGCACGCCACUGGGCAGACAAGCUUGCGUACGAUAGCGCUCUGGCGCCUGCUCGCGUUGCCGUGCAGUGGAGGGCGUCUCUGCUCGUGCCAAGUGCAAAGGAAGGUGCGGCCGUUACCUCGGGUGCAGGUGAGGGCCAGACACUGGCGCCUACCCCGCUGCAGUGGGUUCUGUACACUGCUCGCCGUCAGCUCGUCGUUGCCGUUGCUAAUCGGUCGCAAGCCGUGCUAACAGGACGGCGACUGGGGCUCGACCGUGCGGCUGCACCGGCGACUACCGAGGUUGCUCCGUUUUCGCCGUCUGCGCUCCGUGCAUUGGCGGAGCAGUGCGUCAAGGCGCUGCCCGUCGCACGUGGACUGCUGGGCUGGCACUGUCCGUGGCCUGUGCCAUCGUGCUUGCAGAGCACUGGCACCCGCAUCGCAAUUCCGUCCGCCGCUGCAGUUGAAGAGGUGUUGUGGGCGCUGCGCAUGUUGGGCAAACUGCGAUGGAGAGCGGCACAGCUGUACGAGGCGGCUGGCGACUCGGCCGAGCAGCAUCAGCAGCUGCGCGCGUUGCGAGCCGAUGUGCAGCGCUGGUCGUCGCGUCGCCGUGCGCGAGCGCUGGCGGCUGAUGGCGCUACCCUAGCGUCUGAAGCGGUUGCGUGGACGCCCACGGUGGAAGAUGUUGUAUGCCACGUAGACGACGGCGACUGGGGCGCGCUGACCAAGGAGCUAUCGAGCAUGCUGCCCCCAGCGUAACGGCGGUGGCGUCUCCCUUAACCUCUCUGUCGGCCUCUAUGCAUGUGCGCAGCUGAGUCCGCAGUCGCAUCGCCCCUCCCUCACCACGAAACGAGAACAGCACUGAGGACCCCUCCGUCCUGCCAAGCCCGCCCUCAUCGUGCCCUCAUCGGUCGUGUCAAAUGGAGGUAGCGCGCACGUCGCGUGCCUUUGCUCCCCUUCGCGUUUCGGAUUGUGAACGCGCGCCAGCGUGGUGGCAGCCUUGUGCAUGCGUGCCACGUGCUGCUGCUGCUGUCGGCACACGCCCGCCCACCC